ensembl:misc_RNA Y_RNA Y RNA
GGCCGGUGCAAGUGCAGUGGUGUUUACAACAAAUCGAUCAAGACCAGUUACAGAUUUCUUUGUUCCUUCCCUACUCUCAUUGAUUCACUUGACUGGCCUUUA